AACGAACGCUGGCGGCAGGCUUAACACAUGCAAGUCGAGCGCCCCGCAAGGGGAGCGGCAGACGGGUGAGUAACGCGUGGGAACGUACCCUUUGCUACGAAAUAGCUCCGGGAAACUUCAGCUAAUACCGUAUACGCCCUACGGGGGAAAGAUUUAUCGGAAUUGGAUGAGCCCGCGUUGGAUUAGCUAGUUGGUGAGGUAACGGCUCACCAAGGCGACGAUCCAUAGCUGGUCUGAGAGGAUGAUCAGCCACACUGGGACUGAGACACGGCCCAGACUCCUACGGGAGGCAGCAGUGGGGAAUAUUGGACAAUGGGCACAAGCCUGAUCCAGCCAUGCCGCGUGAGUGAUGAAGGCCUUAGGGUUGUAAAGCUCUUUCAGUGGGGACGAUAAUGACGGUACCCACAGAAGAAGCCCCGGCUAACUUCGUGCCAGCCGCCGCCGUAAAAC
rnacentral:rRNA from 1 species